rnacentral:rRNA from 1 species
UCCGUAGGUGAACCUGCGGAAGGAUCAUUACCGAGUGAGGGCCCUCUGGGUCCAACCUCCCACCCGUGUUUAUUUUACCUUGUUGCUUCGGCGGGCCCGCCUUAACUGGCCGCCGGGGGGCUCACGCCCCCGGGCCCGCGCCCGCCGAAGACACCCUCGAACUCUGUCUGAAGAUUGUAGUCUGAGUGAAAAUAUAAAUUAUUUAAAACUUUCAACAACGGAUCUCUUGGUUCCGGCAUCGAUGAAGAACGCAGCGAAAUGCGAUACGUAAUGUGAAUUGCAAAUUCAGUGAAUCAUCGAGUCUUUGAACGCACAUUGCGCCCCCUGGUAUUCCGGGGGGCAUGCCUGUCCGAGCGUCAUUGCUGCCCUCAAGCACGGCUUGUGUGUUGGGCCCCGUCCUCCGAUCCCGGGGGACGGGCCCGAAAGGCAGCGGCGGCACCGCGUCCGGUCCUCGAGCGUAUGGGGCUUUGUCACCCGCUCUGUAGGCCCGGCCGGCGCUUGCCGAUCAACCCAAAUUUUUAUCCAGGUUGACCUCGGAUCAGGUAGGGAUACCCGCUGAACUUAAGCAUAUCAAUAAGCGGAGGA